CGUGAUCCCAUCUGAUCUCAGGAGCUAAGCAGGGUUGGGUCUGGUUAGUACUUGGAUAGGAGACCACCUAGGAAGACCAGGUGCUGUAGGCA
rnacentral:rRNA from 1 species